rnacentral:rRNA from 1 species
AUUGAACGCUGGCGACAAGCCUAACACAUGCAAGUCGAACGAGUGGCGGACGGGUGUGUAAUUUCUGGGACACUGCCUGAUGGAGGGGUAUAACUACUGGAACCGGUAGCUAAUACCGCAUACCCUCGGAUGUGCCCAGAUGGGAUUCGCUAGUAGGUGGGGUAAAGGCUCACCUAGGCGACGAUCCCUAGCUGGUCUGAGAGGAUGACCAGCCAACCGGGAACGGAGACACGGUCCAGACUCCUACGGGAGGCAGCAGUGGGGAAUAGUGCACAAUGGGCGCAAGCCUGAUACAGCCAUGCCGCGUGUAUGAAGAAGGCCUUCGGGUUGUAAAGUACUGUCAGCGGGGAGGCGUUACCCGCAGAAGAAGCACCGGCUAACUCCGUGCCAGCAGCCGCGGUAAUAC